GGAUUAGAUACCCUGGUAGUCCUUGCCGUAAACUAUGUAUACUUGGUGUAACUGGACUCAACCCCGGUUGUGCCGUAGCUAACGCGAUAAGUAUACCGCCUGGGGAGUACGCUCGCAAGGGUGAAACUCAAAAGAAUUGACGGGGACCCGCACAAGCAGUGGAGCAUGUGGUUUAAUUCGAUGCAACGCGAAGAACCUUACCCAGACUUGACAUACAGUGGAAGUUAGUAGAAAUAUUAACGCCCUUCGGGGCCGCUGAACAGGUGCUGCAUGGCUGUCGUCAGCUCGUGCCG
rnacentral:rRNA from 1 species